rnacentral:rRNA from 1 species
CAUUUCUAGCUUGCUAGAAGAUGACGAGCGGCGGACGGGUGACGUAAUGCUUGGGAAUAUGCCAUAUGGUGGGGGACAACAGUUGGAAACGACUGCUAAUACCGCAUAACGUCUACGGACCAAAGGAGGGGACUUUUCGGAGCCUUUCGCCAUUUGAUUAGCCCAAGUGAGAUUAGCUAGUUGGUGAGGUAAUGGCUCACCAAGGCGACGACCUCUAGCUGGUUUGAGAGGAUGAUCAGCCACACUGGGACUGAGACACGGCCCAGACUCCUACGGGAGGCAGCAGUGGGGAAUAUUGCACAAUGGGCGAAAGCCUGAUGCAGCCAUGCCGCGUGUGUGAAGAAGGCCUUCGGGUUGUAAAGCACUUUCAGUUGUGAGGAAAGGGACGUAGUUAAUAACUGCAUUCUGUGACGUUAACAACAGAAGAAGCACCGGCUAACUUCGUGCCAGCAGCCGCGGUAAUACGAGGGGUGCAAGCGUUAAUCGGAAUUACUGGGCGUAAAGCGUUCGUAGGCGGUCUAUUAAGCAAGAUGUGAAAGCCCAGGGGCUCAACCUUGGAACUGCAUUUUGAACUGGUAGACUA